rnacentral:tmRNA from 1 species
GGGGACGAAAUGGCUUUCGACGGGGGUCUUGAAGCUUUUGUUGCAUGUCGCGGGUCCCAGUCACCGCGUUAGAAAGGCUGGAAAAUGAUAAAUGCCAACGACGAUGUUGAGCUCGCUCUAGCUGCCUAAAAAUAGCUAAAGCGAUGUCUGUACUUCUCUUGCCUACGGAGAUUUACGGGCAUAACCACAGUAGGAUCGCAAGCCCAAGUUUGUUAGGAGCAAGGGUGAGUUAAAUUCAGUCCUAACUCCCCUGAACACCAGCCUGUCUGUGGGCGGGUCGAAGGGUAAAUUAAAUUACAGAAUAAACAUGUAGACGCAGGAUGUGGACGACUUGCGGACCUGGGUUCGACUCCCAGCGUCUCCACUU